rnacentral:rRNA from 1 species
GACGAACGCUGGCGGCGUGCCUAAUACAUGCAAGUAGAACGCUGAAGAGAGGAGCUUGCUCUUCUUGGAUGAGUUGCGAACGGGUGAGUAACGCGUAGGUAACCUGCCUGGUAGCGGGGGAUAACUAUUGGAAACGAUAGCUAAUACCGCAUAAAAUUGAGUAUUGCAUGAUAAUUAAUUGAAAGAUGCAACUGCAUCACUACCAGAUGGACCUGCGUUGUAUUAGCUAGUUGGUGAGGUAACGGCUCACCAAGGCGACGAUACAUAGCCGACCUGAGAGGGUGAUCGGCCACACUGGGACUGAGACACGGCCCAGACUCCUACGGGAGGCAGCAGUAGGGAAUCUUCGGCAAUGGGGGGAACCCUGACCGAGCAACGCCGCGUGAGUGAAGAAGGUUUUCGGAUCGUAAAGCUCUGUUGUAAGAGAAGAACGGGUGUGAGAGUGGAAAGUUCACACUGUGACGGUAUCUUACCAGAAAGGGACGGCUAACUACGUG